GAGUGAAAGUUUCCAAUCUGUUCGGAUCAGGAAAAUCCUCGAUGAGAUAAUUCAAGGUGACGGCAAUGCCUAUCAAUAUGAAUAUGGAACCGAGCAUGGUCAAUGGCGCCAGAUACUUGAAACUUGGAAAACCAAAUAAACAGUAAGUGCCAAUAAAUAAAACGUGCUGCAGUUCGACACUCGAAGCAAAUUUACGAUUUGUCUCACAUCUUUUCCUCAAUUAUGCAUCGAGGAAGAUGAUGCACAUGGAAUUUCCACGUGUCUUUUAAAGAUUGUUAGUAAACUAAUUAAACGUCUGUAGUUUAAAACUUAUAGAAAUUAAUUACUAUCUUCGUCAUACGUGCGAGAAAUCUAAUAAAAUUCUCGAGUAUGUUUUUAUGUAAUGUUAUAAAAGUUAUGACAAUUUUGAUUUCUAAAGUGAAAGUUUCGUAAACCAAUAGAAACGACUGAAAUCGUAGGAAUAUUUUUUUGAUAUGCAUCGACGAAUCAAUAGAAAUAAGAAACAAUAAUGAAAUA